rnacentral:rRNA from 1 species
UGAUCCUGGCUCAGGACGAACGCUGGCGGCGUGCUUAACACAUGCAAGUCGAACGGGGAAUUUUGCUUCGGCAGGAUUCCUAGUGGCGAACGGGUGAGUAACGCGUAGGCAACCUGCCCUUCAGACGGGGACAACAUUCCGAAAGGGAUGCUAAUACCGGAUACGAAGCUUCUGCCGCAUGACGGAAGCUUGAAAGGUGCCCUCAAGCACCGCUGAAGGAUGGGCCUGCGUCCGAUUAGCUGGUUGGUGGGGUAACGGCUCACCAAGGCGACGAUCGGUAGCCGGUCUGAGAGGAUGAACGGCCACAUUGGGACUGAGACACGGCCCAGACUCCUACGGGAGGCAGCAGUGGGGAAUCUUCCGCAAUGGGCGAAAGCCUGACGGAGCAACGCCGCGUGAGUGAUGAAGUUCUUCGGAACGUAAAACUCUGUUGUUCACGACGAACGGGGGGACCAGGAAAUGGGUUUCCAGUGACGGUAGUGAACGAGGAAGCCACGGCUAACUACGUGCCAGCAGCCGCGGUAAUACGUAGGUGGCAAGCGUUGUCCGGAAUUAUUGGGCGUAAAGCGCAUGUAGGCGGUUCCUUAAGUCGGUCGUGAAAAUGCGGUGCUUAACGCCGUAUGGCGAUCGAAACUGGGGGACUUGAGUGCAGGAGAGGAAAGGGGAACUCCCAGUGUAGCGGUGAAAUGCGUAGAUAUUGGGAAGAACACCGGUGGCGAAGGCGCCUUUCUGGACUGUGUCUGACGCUGAGAUGCGAAAGCCAGGGUAGCGAACGGGAUUAGAUACCCCGGUAGUCCUGGCCGUAAACGAUGGGUACUAGGUGUGGGAGGUAUCGACCCCUUCCGUGCCGGAGUUAACGCAAUAAGUACCCCGCCUGGGGAGUACGGCCGCAAGGCUUAAACUCAAAGGAAUUGACGGGGGCCCGCACAAGCGGUGGAGUAUGUGGUUUAAUUCGACGCAACGCGAAGAACCUUACCA